rnacentral:rRNA from 1 species
GCUAAAAAUCUAGCCCUUCUUCUCCGCAUGAACCCAAUCAACUGAAUAUAACUAUUAAAACAUUUUUUUCAUCUUAGUAAAGGCGAUUAAAAAAUUAUUAGGAGCUAUAAAGAUAGUACCGCAAGGGAAAGAUGAAAUAAAAAUUAAACAAAUUUUAAGCAUAACAAAGUAGAGAUUAACCCUCGUACCUUUUGCAUCAUGAUUUAACUAGUCAAAUCAAGCAAAGUGACCUACAGUCUGACUCCCCGAAACUAAGCGAGCUACUUCAGGGCAGCUUUAUGAGCAAACCCGUCUCUGUUGCAGAAGAGUGGGAAGACCCUCAAGUAGCGGUGACAUACCUAACGAGCUUAGUGAUAGCUGGUUACUCAAGAAAAGAAUUUUAGUCCAACCUAAAGAAUAUAAAAUAUUUCCAAAUGGCCCAUUCUUUAGAGCAAUUCAAAUAAGGUACAGCUUAUUUGAAACAGGAUACAACCUUGACCAAAGGGUAAUUAUUUUAUUAAACAACCAAGUGGGCUUAAGAGCAGCCAUCUUUAAAAUAGCGUCAAAGCUUUAUUGUUUAUACACUCAAUUUCACAAAGAACCCAGAACCCUUCACCAGUAUUGAGUACUUCUAUAUAUUUAUAGAAUUUUUAAUGUUAAAACUAGUAACAAGAAGAAGACCUCCUCUUUAAUGCAAAUAUAAAUCAUACAGGACACACCAAUGACUUUUAACAUAUAUGAAAAUAAAAUAGUAACUCUUCAAGAAAAACCUACUAUAUAUUAUGUUAACCUAACACAAGAGCAUUACAAGAAAGAUUAAAAGAAAAAGAAGGAACUCGGCAAACAUUAACCUCGCCUGUUUACCAAAAACAUCGCCUCUUGACAACCAUAAGAGGUCCAGCCUGCCCAGUGACUUUGUUCAACGGCCGCGGUAUCCUAACCGUGCGAAGGUAGCGUAAUCACUUGUCCUCUAAAUAAGGACCAGUAUGAACGGCAUCACGAGGGUUAUACUGUCUCCUUUUUCCAAUCAGUGAACCUAAUCUCCCCGUGAAGAAGCGGGGAUAAAACUAUAAGACGAGAAGACCCUAUGAAGCUUAAAACUAAGUAACAAUCGCUUGUAAAUUAUUUCAUUUCAGAAUACCCACACAUAUCCUAGCUACAUGUUUACUAGUUUUAGGUUGGGGUGACCACGGAGAAAAAAAUAACCUCCACAUUGAACGGAACUUAGUUUCCUGAGCCAUGAGCUACAGCUCUAAGCACCCUAAAAUCGACAUUAAUUGACCCAAUAUUUUGAUCAACGAACCAAGUUACUCUAGGGAUAACAGCGCAAUCCGCUUAAAGAGCCCCUAUCGACAAGCGGGUUUACGACCUCGAUGUUGGAUCAGGGUAUCCUAGUGGUGCAGCCGCUACUAAAGGUUCGUUUGKUCAACGAUUAAAACCCU